rnacentral:rRNA from 1 species
CAGCAGCCACGGUAAUACGAAGGGUGCAAGCGUUACUCGGAAUUACUGGGCGUAAAGGGUGCGUAGGUGGUUUUUUAAGUCCGUUGUGAAAUCCCUGGGCUCAACCUGGGAAUGGCAAUGGAUACUGGCGAGCUAGAGUGUGUCAGAGGAUGGUGGAAUUCCCGGUGUAGCGGUGAAAUGCGUAGAGAUCGGGAGGAACAUCAGUGGCGAAGGCGGCCAUCUGGGACAACACUGACGCUCAUGCACGAAAGCGUGGGGAGCAAACAGGAUUAGAGACCCCUGUAGUCCCUGUCUCUUAUAC